GCCUUGAUUGAGCAACAGCUCAAACGCUCUUUAAAAAGUUGACCAAGUAAUUCGUGUGGGCGCUGGCCGAGGUAUUUCGGAUAUGAAAUAUCAGGACAGUGACUCGUCGAAAUUGAGUUUUGUCUUGAGCAAGAAUAGAGAAUCUUCGGAUUCUUGUAUGAUUUAAACUGAAGAGUUUGAUCAUGGCUCAGAUUGAACGCUGGCGGCAGGCUUAACACAUGCAAGUCGAGCGGUAACAGAUCUAGCUUGCUAGAUGCUGACGAGCGGCGGACGGGUGAGUAAUGCAUAGGAAACUGCCCAGUAGUGGGGGAUAGCCCGGGGAAACCCGGAUUAAUACCGCGUACGCCCUUCGGGGGAAAGCAGGGGAUCUUCGGACCUUGCGCUAUUGGAUGUGCCUAUGUCGGAUUAGCUAGUUGGUGGGGUAAAGGCCUACCAAGGCGACGAUCCGUAGCUGGUCUGAGAGGAUGAUCAGCCACAUCGGGACUGAGACACGGCCCGAACUCCUACGGGAGGCAGCAGUGGGGAAUAUUGGACAAUGGGGGCAACCCUGAUCCAGCCAUGCCGCGUGUGUGAAGAAGGCUUUCGGGUUGUAAAGCACUUUCAGUGAGGAGGAAAACUCUGCGACUAAUACUCGUAGGGCUUGACGUUACUCACAGAAGAAGCACCGGCUAACUCCGUGCCAGCAGCCGCGGUAAUACGGAGGGUGCAAGCGUUAAUCGGAAUUACUGGGCGUAAAGCGCGCGUAGGUGGUUUGAUAAGCGAGAUGUGAAAGCCCCGGGCUUAACCUGGGAACGGCAUUUCGAACUGUCAGGCUAGAGUAUGGUAGAGGGUAGUGGAAUUUCCUGUGUAGCGGUGAAAUGCGUAGAUAUAGGAAGGAACACCAGUGGCGAAGGCGGCUACCUGGACCAAUACUGACACUGAGGUGCGAAAGCGUGGGGAGCAAACAGGAUUAGAUACCCUGGUAGUCCACGCCGUAAACGAUGUCUACUAGCCGUUGGGACUCUUGAAGUCUUAGUGGCGCAGCUAACGCACUAAGUAGACCGCCUGGGGAGUACGGCCGCAAGGUUAAAACUCAAAUGAAUUGACGGGGGCCCGCACAAGCGGUGGAGCAUGUGGUUUAAUUCGACGCAACGCGAAGAACCUUACCUGGCCUUGACAUGCAGAGAACUUUCCAGAGAUGGAUUGGUGCCUUCGGGAACUCUGACACAGGUGCUGCAUGGCCGUCGUCAGCUCGUGUCGUGAGAUGUUGGGUUAAGUCCCGUAACGAGCGCAACCCCUAUCCCUAGUUGCUAGCAGUUCGGCUGAGAACUCUAGGGAGACUGCCGGUGACAAACCGGAGGAAGGUGGGGAUGACGUCAGGUCAUCAUGGCCCUUACGGCCAGGGCUACACACGUGCUACAAUGGUGCGCACAGAGGGCUGCAAACCCGCGAGGGGGAGCCAAUCUCACAAAACGCAUCGUAGUCCGGAUCGCAGUCUGCAACUCGACUGCGUGAAGUCGGAAUCGCUAGUAAUCGUGAAUCAGAAUGUCACGGUGAAUACGUUCCCGGGCCUUGUACACACCGCCCGUCACACCAUGGGAGUGGAUUGCACCAGAAGUGGUUAGUCUAACCUUCGGGAGGACGAUCACCACGGUGUGGUUCAUGACUGGGGUGAAGUCGUAACAAGGUAGCCGUAGGGGAACCUGCGGCUGGAUCACCUCCUUA
rnacentral:rRNA from 2 species